rnacentral:rRNA from 1 species
UACGAAGGGUGCAAGCGUUACUCGGAAUUACUGGGCGUAAAGCGUGCGUAGGUGGUUUGUUAAGUCUGAUGUGAAAGCCCCGGGCUCAACCUGGGAAUUGCAUUUGAGACUGCGUAGCUAGGGUGCGGAAGAGGGAAGCGGAAUUUCCGGUGUAGCGGUGAAAUGCGUAGAUAUCGGAAGGAACACCAGUGGCGAAAGCGGCUUCCUGGUCCAGCACCGACGUUCAGGCACGAAAGCGUGGGGAGCAAACAGG